GAGGAAUAUUGGUCAAUGGGGGAGAGCCUGAACCAGCCAAGUCGCGUGAAGGAAGAAGGAUCUAUGGUUCGUAAACUUCUUUUGCAGGGGAAUAAAGUGCAGGACGUGUCCUGUUUUGUAUGUACCCUGAGAAUAAGGAUCGGCUAACUCCGUGCCAGCAGCCGCGGUAAUACGGAGGAUCCGAGCGUUAUCCGGAUUUAUUGGGUUUAAAGGGUGCGCAGGCGGGCUUUUAAGUCAGCGGUGAAAUCUGGACGCUUAACGUCCAAACUGCCGUUGAAACUGGGAGUCUUGAGUAUGGAUGAAGUAGGCGGAAUUCGUUGUGUAGCGGUGACAUGCAUAGAUAUAACGAGGAACUCCGAUUGCGUAGGCAGCUUACUAAGCCAUAACUGACGCUCAUGCACGAAAGCGUGGGGAUCAAACA
rnacentral:rRNA from 1 species